rnacentral:rRNA from 1 species
UACAGAGGUGGCAAGCGUUGUUCGGAUUCAUUGGGCGUAAAGGGUGCGUAGGUGGCGCGGUAAGUCGGGUGUGAAAUCUCGGAGCUUAACUCCGAAAUUGCAUUCGAUACUGCCGUGCUUGAGGACUGGAGAGGAGACUGGAAUUCAUGGUGUAGCAGUGAAAUGCGUAGAGAUCAUGAGGAAGACCAGUGGCGAAGGCGGGUCUCUGGACAGUUCCUGACACUGAGGCACGAAGGCCAGGGAGCAAACGGG